UGGGGGAUAUUGCACAAUGGGCGAAAGCCUGAUGCAGCGACGCCGCGUGGGGGAUGAAGGCUUUCGGGUUGUAAACCUCUUUCGCUAUCGAACAAGGCCCGCUUAGGGUGGGUUGAGGGUAGGUGGAGAAGAAGCGCCGGCUAACUACGUGCCAGCAGCCGCGGUAAUACGUAGGGCGCGAGCGUUGUCCGGAAUUAUUGGGCGUAAAGGUGUGUUAGGCGGCUUGUUGCGCCUGCUGUGAAAACGCGGGGCUUAACUUCGCGCGUGCAGUGGGUACGGGCAGGCUUGAGUGUGGUAGGGGUGACUGGAAUUCCAGGUGUAGCGGUGGAAUGCGCAGAUAUCUGGAUGAACACCGAUGGCGAAGGCAGGUCACUGGGCCAUUACUGACGCUGAGGAGCGAAAGCAUGGGUAGCGAACAGG
rnacentral:rRNA from 1 species